AAUCAACGCUGGCGGCGUGCCUCAGACAUGCAAGUCGAACGAUUAAAGCUCUCUUCGGAGAGUGUAUAGAGUGGCGCACGGGGUGAGUAACACGUAAGUAAUCUACCUUCGAGUGGGGAAUAACGUCCGGAAACGGACGCUAAUACCGCAUAAUGCAGCGGCAUCGCAAGAUGACAGUUGUUAAAGGAAUUUAUUUCGCUUGAAGAGGAGCUUGCGGCAGUANAGUCUAGUUGGUAAGGUAAUGGCUUACCAAGGCUACGAUCUGUAACCGGUCUAAGAGGACGGCCGGUCACACUGACACU
rnacentral:rRNA from 1 species